rnacentral:snRNA from 1 species
GGAUGUGAGAGCGAUCUGGCUGCUACAUCUGUCACCCCAUUGAUCACCAGGGUUGAUUCAGCUGAUCUGGCUGUCUAGGCGGGUGUCCCCUUCCUCCCUCACAGCUCCAUGUGCAUCCCUCCCGAAGCUACACUUGGUCUAAGAGGAAGACCUACUCCAAUAGAGGAGGACCAUUCUUUGGUCAAGAGUAUACAAGUAGCUGCGCUCCUCUGCUAGAACCUCCAAACAAGCCCAAGGGCUCUUUCAAGGAGCAUUUUUAUUUCCCUUUCUCUUCUCCUACAAUACACUUCCCUCACAGUCUCAUU